rnacentral:rRNA from 1 species
GACGAACGCUGGCGGCGUGCUUAACACAUGCAAGUCGAGCGGUAAGGCCUCUUUUGGGUUGCACGAUCGGCGUACUGGUGAGUAACACGUGGGUGACCUGCCCUCAUCUCUUGGAUCAGCCUGGGAAAUUGGGUCUAAUACCGGAUAUUACUUUUCCUCGCAUGUGGUUUGGUGGACCGUUUUUUCGGCUGGGGAUGGUCCGGCGGCCUAUCAGCUUGUUGGCGGGGCGAUGGCUUACUAAGGCGAUGACGGGUAGCCGGCCUGAGAGGUCGCCGGGCCACACUGGGACGGAGAGACGGCCCAGACUGCUACGGGAGGCAGAAGUGGGGAAUAUUGCGCGAUGGGCGGAAGCGUGACGCAGCGAGGCCGCGGGGGGGAUGACGGCCUUCGGGUUGUAGACCGCUUUCGAGCCCGAAGAAUGUGGACGGUAGGGGUAGAAGAAGCACCGGCCAACUACGUG